GUUCUCACAGUGGAAAUGUGGCUCCCGAUACCCACAGCAGCUCCAGAGGCGGCCGCCAAAGUGAGGCAUCUCAUACCUGCAGGGACGACUAGCUUCUCCUCUGUUCUCUCAUCGCCUGAGGUGAACUGGACAUCGCGUGGGUCCCGCCCACCCUCUUGCUUUUAGGUAUCCAGAAACACUCAAGGAUCUAAGUUGUCCGCACAGCAGGCAAGGACUAUGGAGCUAUCAUGGCACCUCGGGGGAUUAUCUGGGCAAACCAUUUCAUCACAGAAAGGAGGACACAGAGAUUCAAGGGCUUAGAAGACUUUCCUGAGGGGAUAUGGCUAAUUACUGCUUGAGCUGAGAUUAGAGCCAGAAUCUCUUCAAACCUAGUCCAAAGCAUCUGCGUCAUUUGCUGUUUUGAAGACUGAAGAUGAGGCUAGUGCCACUUCCCCUCGUGUAAUCGGACAAAGUCAGACCGCAUGAUGGUUGUAGCUGUUAUGGUCUCUACAAUAAGAGUAAUAAGAAUAAGCCCUCCUCCUUGACAUGUGUAAGGCAAAGCUUGGAUGAGAACAAAGCCUACUGGACUCAUUAAGAAGCGGUUUCCAGAACAUGAGCAAACGUUGGCGGAAGAACACACCCGCAAAGUUGAAGGUAACUGAUGGGGUUGGAAAUGUAUGAGAAGUCAAGAACAUUCCUGAUGUCCUUCUUCUAGCUGGCUGGCUGGCAACAGAACUAGCUCUUUAAAUGCUUGCUCUGGUCAUGAAGACAAGCAAAUAAACCAAUGAGAAAACUA